rnacentral:rRNA from 1 species
UACGUAGGGGCGCGCGUUGUCCGGAUUAUUGGGCGUAAAGAGCUCGUAGGCGGUUUGUCGCGUCUUCCGUGAAAACUGGGGGCUUAACUUCCAGCUUGCGGUGGAUACGGGCUGACUGGAGUGCGGCAGGGGAGACUGGAAUUCCUGGUGUAGCGGUGAAAUGCGCAGAUAUCAGGAGGAACACCGGUGGCGAAGGCGGGUCUCUGGGCCGUUACUGACGCUGAGGAGCGAAAGCGUGGGGAGCGAACAGG